ACUGCUCAGUAACACGUGGAUAACCUGCCCUUGGGUCCGGCAUAACCCCGGGAAACUGGGGAUAAUUCCGGAUAACGCACAUAUGCUGGAAUGCUUUAUGCGUAAAAUGGAUUCGUCUGCCCAAGGAUGGGUCUGCGGCCUAUCAGGUAGUAGUGGGUGUAAUGUACCUACUAGCCAACAACGGGUACGGGUUGUGAGAGCAAGAGCCCGGAGAUGGAUUCUGAGACAUGAAUCCAGGCCCUACGGGGCGCAGCAGGCGCGAAAACUUUACAAUGCGGGAAACCGUGAUAAGGGGACACCGAGUGCCAGCAUCAUAUGCUGGCUGUCCAGGUGUGUAAAAUACACCUGUUAGCAAGGGCCGGGCAAGACCGGUGCCAGCCGCCGCGGUAACACCGGCGGCCCGAGUGGUGAUCGUGAUUAUUGGGUCUAAAGGGUCCGUAGCCGGUUUGGUCAGUCCUCCGGGAAAUCUGACGGCUCAACCGUUAGGCUUUCGGGGGAUACUGCCAGGCUUGGAACCGGGAGAGGUAAGAGGUACUACAGGGGUAGGAGUGAAAUCUUGUAAUCCCUGUGAGACCACCUGUGGCGAAGGCGUCUUACCAGAACGGGUUCGACGGUGAGGGACGAAAGCUGGGGGCACGAACCGGAUUAGAUACCCGGGUAGUCCCAGCCGUAAACGAUGCUCGCUAGGUGUCAGGCAUGGCGCGACCGUGUCUGGUGCCGCAGGGAAGCCGUGAAGCGAGCCACCUGGGAAGUACGGCCGCAAGGCUGAAACUUAAAGGAAUUGGCGGGGGAG
rnacentral:rRNA from 1 species